rnacentral:rRNA from 1 species
GACGAACGCUGGCGGUAUGCUUAACACAUGCAAGUCGAGCGAGAAUCGUUUUGCUGAAGGCUUCGGUCUGACGCAGAAUGAGGAAAGCGGCGAACGGGUGAGUAACGCGUGGGCAACUUGGCCUUAAGAAAAGGAUAGCCCCCGGAAACGGGGAGUAAUACUUUAUGAGAAUGAAAGAGGGCAUCCUACUUUCAUUCAAAGCGCAAGCGCUUAAGGAUGGGCCCGCGUAUCAUUAGCUAGUUGGUGAGAUAACAGCCCACCAAGGCAACGAUGAUUAGGCGGUCUGAGAGGGCGAACGGCCACAUUGGAACUGAGAGACGGUCCAAACUCCUACGGGAGGCAGCAGUGGGGAAUAUUGCGCAAUGGAGAAGAACUCUGACGCAGCAAUACCGCGUGAGCGAAGAAGGUCUUCGGAUCGUAAAGCUCUGUUAUCAGGGAAGAAGAAAAUGACGGUACCUGAUGAGCAAGUCCCGGCUAACUACGAGCCAGCCGCCGCUGUAAAAC